rnacentral:lncRNA from 1 species
UCAAAAUUGCAUUUUUCCAUCGUUAAUCUCUCGAAAAACAAAACUUCUCCCUGCCCCAUUUUCUUCAAUGCAGUCUCUGUAACCCUAUCGUUGCUCUCGAGAAUGAUGGAAUCUCUAUAACUUCUGCAAAUCGCCAACAAAAAAAAAAAACACAUCCUAGAGGAUAGUGCAAAAUCGAAACGUACAGGUAAUUUGAUUUGUGGUUUUUUAAAUGUCUUUAAUGGCGAUUCUUUGACGGAAUGCAAUGGGUUAUUUUUAUAACUUAAGUGAAAGAUGCAAAUUAGAGGUUUUAACCCCAUGUAAUAUUUAUUUUUAUUUUUUGUUUUGACAUUAUUUUUUGUUUGGAUUUUACUGUUCGAGUUACAAUAUUUUGCCGGUUGUUUUGCGUUUUUUGUUACAUCUUUUCAGAUCUCGAUUGCGAAUUUUUGUAUUGUCGUCUUUUGUGCUUUUCGGCCCUUGGGAGUAUUUUGUUGAAUUUUUCUUUUUCCUCCUAAAUUCGUUGAUUGUUUGUUUGGAGUUUCCUGGUUUGUGUUACAUUAUUUUGUGUUUUCAUUUUGCUGUUUUGUGAUACAUUUGUUUUUUUUUUUUAUGUUAUUUUCUGGUGUCGAUUGCAACAUAUAUUCGAUUUCGUUGUUUUUUUUUUUUUGCAAUUUGUUGUUUCUAGCAUAGUGUAUUUUGCACUUUGAUGUUUAUUUCGCAUUUUGCAUUUUGCACUUUGAUGUUUAUUUUGCAUUUUGCAUUUUGCAUAUAUGAUGUAAUAUUUGAUAUUGUAUAUUUCAUUUGAACUUUGGUAUAUUUUUAGUCAUCUUGUGUUUUUUAAAUUGCAUUUUAUUGUUUCAAAAUUACAAUUUGCAUUUGCUGUUACCAAAUGCACCUUGCAUAUUGUUAUGUGCAAUUGAUGUACAUGGAUUAUAGGUACCGACAUGGUUGUGCAAUAAAUACUUUUUUUCAAUUGAACAGUUGAUUUGACGAAGAGGGAGAGGAAAGUAGAUGAAUCAUUUGCCUCUUCAAAAAGAGGAACGCAACAACGAAUCAAGCCAAAUCUAUUUGCACGGUAGCACAAAGUCAUAUUAUGUUUCGACAUCGCCUCAACAAAAACCAGAUUUGGUUGAUUGUGGGAUUUUUGUCUUGUAUAUGGCAAGACAGUUGUGCAUGCAACAACCAUUAGUGAGAAAAACUGCAGCAAGUGGGAUUAUCGCACUCGAUAAACUUUUAAUUAUCAGUUCUUGAACGAUGAGGAUACUGUUGAGUUUAAUUAGAAUUUGUUUAUGACAUUUACUUAUGUUUAGCAUAACUUUUUUUUUUUUUUUUUUUUUUAUUUGUGGCAUUAUAUUUUUGUUGGAUUUUGAUAUAAACUAAUUUCUAAUAUAUUCUAAAUUCAUGCAG